rnacentral:rRNA from 1 species
CCUACGGGUGGCAGCAGUGGGGAAUAUUGGACAAUGGGCGAAAGCCUGAUCCAGCCAUGCCGCGUGUGUGAAGAAGGCCUUCGGGUUGUAAAGCACUUUCAGUGGGGAAGAAAGCCUUGGGGCUAAUACCCUCGAGGAAGGACAUCACCCACAGAAGAAGCACCGGCUAACUCCGUGCCAGCAGCCGCGGUAAUACGGAGGGUGCGAGCGUUAAUCGGAAUUACUGGGCGUAAAGCGCGCGUAGGCGGUCUGAUAAGCCGGUUGUGAAAGCCCCGGGCUCAACCUGGGAACGGCAUCCGGAACUGUCAGGCUAGAGUGCAGGAGAGGAAGGUAGAAUUCCCGGUGCAGCGGUGAAAUGCGUAGAGAUCGGGAGGAAUACCAGUGGCGAAGGCGGCCUUCUGGACUGACACUGACGCUGAGGUGCGAAAGCGUGGGUAGCAAACAGGAUUAGAUACCCCAGUAGUC